GAUGAACGCUAGCGGCAGGCUUAACACAUGCAAGUCGAGGGGCAGCAUAAUGAAGUAGCAAUACUGAAUUGAUGGCGACCGGCGCACGGGUGCGUAACGCGUAUGUAACCUACCUCUAACAGGGGGAUAACACUGAGAAAUUGGUACUAAUACCCCAUAACACUUGAUAGGGCAUCCUAUUGAGUUGAAAGUUCCGGCGGUUAGAGAUGGACAUGCGUUGUAUUAGCUAGAUGGUGAGGUAACGGCUCACCAUGGCGACGAUACAUAGGGGGACUGAGAGGUUAACCCCCCACACUGGUACUGAGACACGGACCAGACUCCUACGGGAGGCAGCAGUGAGGAAUACUUGGUCAAUGGACGCAAGUCUGAACCAGCCAUGCCGCGUGCAGGAUGACGGCUCAUGAGUUGUAAACUGCUUUUGACAAGGGUAACCCCGAUACGUGUAUCGGGCUGAAAGUACUGUACGAAUAAGG
rnacentral:rRNA from 1 species